UCAAGCGAACAAGGGCGCAGGGCGAAUGCCUUGGCACUGGGAGCCGAUGAAAGACGUGAUAAGCUGCGAUAAGCUUCGGGGAGCUGCAAAUAAGCAUUGAUCCGGAGAUUUCUGAAUGAGGAAACUCACCUGGGUUCAUACUCAGGUACAAUACACUGAAAUUCAAAAUAGGUGUAUUGAGGGAACCGCCUGAACUGAAACAUCUAAGUAGGGCGAGGAAGAGACAUCAAACGAGAUUCCGUAAGUAGUGGCGAGCGAACGCGGAAGAGGGCAAACCGAGAGUAGAAAUACUUUCGGGGUACGGACUGCUUUUAAGACUCAAUCUGUUAACCGAACGGCAUGGGAAGGCCGGUCAGAGAGUGUGAGAACCACGUAGGUGAAAACGGAGAGAGCUGCGCAGGAUCCAGAGUACGGCCAGACACGUGAAACCUGGUCGGAAUACGGGGGGACCACCCUCCAACCCUAAAUACUACCCAGUGACCGAUAGCGUAUAGUACUGUGAAGGAAAGGUGAAAAGCACCCCGGGAGGGGAGUGAAAAAGAACCUGAAACCCUGUGCCUACAAGCACCUAGAGCGCGUCAAAGCGUGAUAGGGUACUUUUUGUAGAACGGUCCGGCGAGCGAUUGUAUGCAGCAAGGUUAAGGACUUAAGGUCUGGAGCCGAAGCGAAAGCGAGUUUGAAAAGGGCGUUAAGUUGCAUAUAAUGGGCCCGAAACCGGGUGACCUACCCAUGGUCAGGUUGAAGUGGAAGUAAAAUUCCAUGGAGGACCGAACCGACCUCCGUUGAAAAGGCGGCGGAUGAACUGUGGGUAGCGGAGAAAUUCCAAUCGAACCCGGAGAUAGCUGGUUCUCCCCGAAAUAGUUUUAGGACUAGCCUCAAGUUAGAUACCUGGAGGUAAAGCACUGAAUAGCCUAGCGGCCGAGAGGUUAGCGAAGCUUAUCAAACUCAGAAUGCCAGAGUAUUGAUGCUUGGGAGUCAGACAGUGUCAGAUAAAUGUCAUUGUCAAAAGGGAAACAGCCCAGAUCUACAGCUAAGGUCCCAAAGUCAGGUUAAGUGGAAAACGAUGUGAAGAUACGCAGACAACCAGGAUGUUGGCUCAGAAGCAGCCACUCAUUCAAAGAGUGCGUAAUAGCUCACUGGUCGAGCGUCUUUGCGCGGAGAAUUUAACGGGGCUAAACCUGACACCGAAGCUUAGGCAAUACAGCAAUGUAUUGGGUAGGGGAGCGUUGUAUACGCGGUGAAACAGUAGCGCAAGCGGCUGUGGAGUGUAUAGAAGUGAGAAUGCCGGAAUGAGUAGCGCGAAUGCAGUGAGAAUCUGCAUGGCCGAAAGCCUCAGGUUUCUGGAGGAAGGUUCGUCCGCUCCAGGUUAGUCGGGAGCUAAGGUGAGGCCGGAAGGCGUAGCCGAUGCACAGACGGUAGAGAUUCCGUCACCACCAAAAGAGUUAAGCACAGGGACACAUAUGAAGUCUCAGAGCCGGGUGUUGGUUCCGGUAGAGAUCGAGGGAAAUUAGUACCGAAGUCUGAGAUGGAAGAUGGCGAGAAAAGCUGUGUGUAUUUCUGAGGUGCCCGUACCGCAAACCGACACAGGUAGGUAGGAAGAAGAUUCUAAGGCCAACGGGAGAAGGGUUGUUAAGGAACUCGGCAAAUUGACCCCGUAACUUCGGGAGAAGGGGUGCUCCAGAGAUGGAGCCGCAGAGAAUCGGCCCAAGCAACUGUUUACCAAAAACACAGGUUUGUGCUAAAUCGAAAGAUGACGUAUACGAGCUGACGCCUGCCCGGUGCUGGAAGGUUAAGAGGAGAUGUGCAAGCAUUGAAUCGAAGCCCCAGUGAACGGCGGCCGUAACUAUAACGGUCCUAAGGUAGCGAAAUUCCUUGUCAGGUAAG
rnacentral:rRNA from 1 species